rnacentral:rRNA from 1 species
CUUUGAUCCAGAGAUUUCCGAAUGGGGAAACCCAGCAUGAGUUAUGUCAUGUUAUCGAUAUGUGAAUACAUAGCAUAUCAGAAGGCACACCCGGAGAACUGAAACAUCUUAGUACCCGGAGGAAGAGAAAGAAAAUUCGAUUCCCUUAGUAGCGGCGAGCGAAACGGGAAGAGCCCAAACCAACAAGCUUGCUUGUUGGGGUUGUAGGACACUCUAUACGGAGUUACAAAGGACGACAUUAGACGAAUCAUCUGGAAAGAUGAAUCAAAGAAGGUAAUAAUCCUGUAGUCGAAAAUGUUGUCUCUCUUGAGUGGAUCCUGAGUACGACGGAGCACGUGAAAUUCCGUCGGAAUCUGGGAGGACCAUCUCCUAAGGCUAAAUACUCUCUAGUGACCGAUAGUGAACCAGUACCGUGAGGGAAAGGUGAAAAGCACCCCGGAAGGGGAGUGAAAUAGAACCUGAAACCGUGUGCUUACAAGUAGUCAGAGCCCGUUAAUGGGUGAUGGCGUGCCUUUUGUAGAAUGAACCGGCGAGUUACGAUUUGAUGCAAGGUUAAGCAGUAAAUGUGGAGCCGUAGCGAAAGCGAGUCUGAAUAGGGCGUUUAGUAUUUGGUCGUAGACCCGAAACCAGGUGAUCUACCCUUGGUCAGGUUGAAGUUCAGGUAACACUGAAUGGAGGACCGAACCGACUUACGUUGAAAAGUGAGCGGAUGAACUGAGGGUAGCGGAGAAAUUCCAAUCGAACCUGGAGAUAGCUGGUUCUCUCCGAAAUAGCUUUAGGGCUAGCCUCAAGUGAUGAUUAUUGGAGGUAGAGCACUGUUUGGACGAGGGGCCCCUCUCGGGUUACCGAAUUCAGACAAACUCCGAAUGCCAAUUAAUUUAACUUGGGAGUCAGAACAUGGGUGAUAAGGUCCGUGUUCGAAAGGGAAACAGCCCAGACCACCAGCUAAGGUCCCAAAAUAUAUGUUAAGUGGAAAAGGAUGUGGCGUUGCCCAGACAACUAGGAUGUUGGCUUAGAAGCAGCCAUCAUUUAAAGAGUGCGUAAUAGCUCACUAGUCGAGUGACACUGCGCCGAAAAUGUACCGGGGCUAAACAUAUUACCGAAGCUGUGGAUUGUCCUUUGGACAAUGGUAGGAGAGCGUUCUAAGGGCGUUGAAGCAUGAUCGUAAGGACAUGUGGAGCGCUUAGAAGUGAGAAUGCCGGUGUGAGUAGCGAAAGACGGGUGAGAAUCCCGUCCACCGAUUGACUAAGGUUUCCAGAGGAAGGCUCGUCCGCUCUGGGUUAGUCGGGUCCUAAGCUGAGGCCGACAGGCGUAGGCGAUGGAUAACAGGUUGAUAUUCCUGUACCACCUAUAAUCGUUUUAAUCGAUGGGGGGACGCAGUAGGAUAGGCGAAGCGUGCGAUUGGAUUGCACGUCUAAGCAGUAAGGCUGAGUAUUAGGCAAAUCCGGUACUCGUUAAGGCUGAGC